UGCACUAGCCAAUAGAGCUGGGGGAGGCGGAGCGGGCGGGGCUGCCCUUUGGCCGCGCUCGGCCUUGUGGGAGAGCUAGUGGCUGCUGGCUUGUGCGCGCCGGUCUCAUCGCUGCUGAGGGUCAGCAGAGAGCCGCGGCCUGUGGGGCGUUGUCUAAUCCCAGAGCGCUGACUGCGGGCACCGAGAAUCCUGGCGUUAGUCCAAGGGGCCUGGCGAAAUCUCGUUAACGAGUACUGCAGGCUGUUGGUGAAGUCACGACGUAGUGCCAGUGGCCUCGUCCCGCUCUGCUCAAGGGACCCUCACAGGCUGUGGAAUCCGGGCGUCGGGACCUCCGGGGACCUGGGCCUUCUGCUUCCACUCUCAUUCCUGAAUGUUAAAGGGGCAGGGCCGGACCGGAUGGAAUCACCAAAAAGUAUAAUCAUUAGGUCACUAGAUGUGCACGUUGGCAAUUUUCGAAAAUAUUGCCAGAGAGAUUGAAAUAAUUCACCACUGCCCCUCCUCCAGCUUCUCCUGGGCAUGCCACAUACACUGUGGGAAGGGGAAAGGCUGACCUAGAACACCUUCAAGUGGAUGCUACAUAGGAAGCUGGUUGGGACUGAAUCUGGGCAGAAUGGCUGUCGCACUUGCUUUGAAGUUACGAGCACAGCAGUACCAGAACAAUCAGCAGGCAUCUCCGAAAGUUUCCAGGGCAGGGAACCCACCAGGGCAGAGCCUCAGCUCUCAGCCUCCCGGAAUGAACCAUGAACCCAAAGCAAAGAGCAGAACUCCUUUGACACCUCCAGCUUCACAGACAAAGAUGAAUCUCCUAAGGCAUUUCUGAAACAUGCAGUUCUGAAGUCUGGCCAGCCACACCAAAGAGCUUUUCGCAAGAAGGCACAGGCCAGGUAGAGGCAGCUGUGCAGUGGGAGGACUGUGAUGUUUUGGACUAGAAAAUAAGACGCAAAUGAGGCCAAAAAAACACAGGCACUGCAUAAAGGUGUCUUCUCCCCACUUUAUAAGCCUUAUGUGUGAUAAUAUUCAAUGCCACAGCAAGGCAAGCAAAUAGGUCCUUGGAGGGAGGGAUAGCUGGAUUUUAAUCCUGGCUCUACACUAAGGUCUUGGACUACUUACUGCAGGUCUCUGAGCUUCAUAGUUUUAUGUAUAAAAUAGGAUGAAGACCAUCCCCAAAUCCACUUCGAUGGUGAGAAUUAGGUGACAUGACAGCAGAAGGGCAUUUAGAGUUUGGCACAGAAGGGAUCUCAACAAAUGGUAGCUGUGUUUCAUCGUUCAUUUGAGAACUGAUGUUUGGAUCCUUUUCUGCAUCUUGAAAUGUCCCAAAAUAUUCCUCCUUAAGCCCUGCAGUUGGAUACUCAUUGAUACUUCUCUGUUCAAUUUAUACUGCGAGCAGGGGAGGGAGGCUUGAGCUUGGUUCCAUGAACGAGGUUGAAGGGUGUAAGUCUCCCAGCUUCAUUUCUGUCUCCUCCUCACCUGGGGAGCCAUGGCCAAUUCUCUUCCCAGGUCACUUGACUUCUCCAUGACCAUGACUUUCACCUUCUGCAUUUUGGAACAAUAUACUCAUGAAUGCUAAGAAGCUUUUGUUUCUUUCUGCCUGUGCUGAGCCUGUCUACUAUAAAAGAAAAAUCACAAUGGUUGUCAUAGUUAUGCUCUUUGCUUCCUGAGUGGAAUAGCACCGGUUUUUAUGUUACAUUAUACUAUAUUCUGGAUCUCUCUUUGAUGGUGGGUUAUGGAGAAGGUUUGCCAAUUCUUUCUUUUACAAUUCUUUUUAAAUAAAUCCUCAGAAUUAAGGCCAUUUUAUUAUCUUCUUUUACUUUUAAAUACACACACACACACA
rnacentral:lncRNA from 1 species